rnacentral:sRNA from 1 species
AGUAUAUCCUCCAAAGAAUAUACCACAAGUUUUUCCAUUUGACUUUGAAGUGAUAAAUCUGUUCAGAUAAGCUCCUUAUGAAUCCUUCAGAUCGAUGUUCUUGAGGAAAACAGUCAAGCUAAACAUCAAUGAUGACUUUUAUGAGUUUUCCUCCAACGACAGAAAAACACUGCAGUAAGCUUUGGCAGCGUGUCCUCUGAAGAGGCAGAGACUCGUUUAUCCAGCUAUCAAAAAUCCAUCAAGUCUGCACACAAGCUUCUGUGCCAGCUGCUGGGGAUGCAAAGAAUGCACCCCACCCCACUUGGCCACAAAAAGCUGACAGCCACAUUUUUAAAAAUAUAUUUUGUUUACCUUUAGGCUCA